rnacentral:rRNA from 1 species
UGGGGAAUAUUGCACAAUGGGCGGAAGCCUGAUGCAGCGACGCCGCGUGAGGGAUGACGGCCUUCGGGUUGUAAACCUCUUUCAGUAGGGACGAAGCGUAAGUGACGGUACCUGCAGAAGAAGCACCGGCUAACUACGUGCCAGCAGCCGCGGUAAUACGUAGGGUGCGAGCGUUGUCCGGAAUUACUGGGCGUAAAGAGCUCGUAGGCGGUUUGUCACGUCGUCUGUGAAAUCCUAGGGCUUAACCCUGGACGUGCAGGCGAUACGGGCUGACUUGAGUACUACAGGGGGGACUGGAAUUUCUGGUGUAGCGGUGGAAUGCACAGAUAUCAGGAAGAACACCGAUGGCGAAGGCAGGUCUCUGGGUAGUAACUGACGCUGAGGAGCGAAAGCAUGGGUAGCGAACAGG